rnacentral:rRNA from 1 species
AGCGAACGCUGGCGGAAUGCUUAACACAUGCAAGUCGCACGGGGGCUUCGGCUCGAGUGGCGGACGGGUGAGUAACGCGUAGGAACGUGUCUUGGGGUGGGGGAUAACGCUGGGAAACUGGCGCUAAUACCGCAUAUGGGCUGAGGCCCAAAGCCUUCGGGUGCCUUGAGAGCGGCCUGCGUCCGAUUAGCUAGUUGGUGGGGUAACUGCUUACCAAGGCGACGAUCGGUAGCUGGUCUGAGAGGACGAUCAGCCACACUGGGACUGAGACACGGCCCAGACUCCUACGGGAGGCAGCAGUGGGGAAUAUUGGACAAUGGGCGGAAGCCUGAUCCAGCAAUUCCGCGUGGGUGAAGAAGGUCUUCGGAUUGUAAAGCCCUUUCGACAGGGACGAUGAUGACGGUACCUGUAGAAGAAGCCCCGGCUAACUUCGUGCCAGCAGCCGCGGUAA